ACAACAUGAAACCCAUUUAUAUGUAAGUCGACAGGGCAUUGUUCGGGCAGGUUCUAAUGCUAUCUUCAUGCUACCGUAUUGCCAUGAGCGAAAAUUGUGCUAUUUCCAUUAUAGGGUUUUCUACGUCGAUAGACAGUAGACACCCUAAAAUCGUUAGGAAAAACACAUUUUGAAUCGAAAAAUUUCAAUUUUUUGACAACAAAAAUCAAGUUUUUGAAACAAUGAAACCGUGUCGAUGUGGUGCUAUUUUACACCAGCAAUACCAUUUUCAAUGUUAACACUUCUCAAUCAGUUUACGAUAACUUCAAUUCGAUACCAUUUUAUAAGUUUAGUUGAAAAAUGUUUUACGUGUACCUUCACAACAUAGUUUCCACAACUCUGAGCAUAACAAAUAAAUUCAUUUCAACGCAAUUUCUCAAUUUUAACAAAAGUGGUAAUGAAUAAUGUCUCAUUUCGAAACGAGACUUUACGUCAAGAUAAAAAUUUUCAUACUCCAAUACAGAAUAAUUUUACUUUUAUCGAUAGGACUAUGUGCCUCAGCUGUGCUACUAAUCUUGCUAUCUUCGAAGUGGGAAAUUUCGCGAUAUGAUCUCAUACAAUCCACAUCAAACGCAGCAGAUAUUGAACCAACAGCUUGCACGUGCUAUACUUCAUCAAACGAUAUGUACUACUUGCCAUUUUCCGAUUGGUCUAUAUUCCCUCACGCGAAGACACCUAAUAACAAAUAUCACAUCAUGGCUCAUCACGUAAGGUAUGAAUCCGUUUUGAAAUCAGAUCAGUAUCCGGAUACAUCGACUGUGACAAUUCUGAGACAUCCUUUCACGCAUUUCGAAUCCAUUUAUAUGUAAUUACUUCAAAAUAAGCGAGACAACUGGUAUGAACUUUCAAAAAUUUUUAAACGCGCCAAAAAAACCAGCUUCUUUGUCAGGACUUGGAAGCACUUUUGUGUACCAUGGAUACAAUACAAUGAGUGUCGAUUUAGGAUUUGAUCCGAAGCAAAGUAAAAAUAAAACAGCAGUUGACCAAUUUAUCGAAAAAAUAGAUAACGAGUUUGAUUUCGUCAUGAUAAUGGAGUACAUGGAAGCAUCUAUGAUUUUACUCGCCGAUUUAAUGGGAUGGCCAUUGGAAAACGUAGCUCAUUUGAAGUUGAACGCCAGACUACCCACCUCAGGAACUUUCAAACCAACUUCACAGGAGGAAUUCAUCAUUAUGGAUCUUAACGAAGUAGAUACGCUGCUGUAUCACCAUUUUAGGAACAAAUUUCUCAAAUGUAUACGACAAUAUGGCGAACAAAAAAUGUAUCGUCAAAUUCAACGACUAAAAAUCAUGAAUGAAGAAUUAGCUCAGAGAUGCAUAGCAGAGGACAUCAAAACUGUCGACUGGUUUGGAAUUCCGAAAAUAGUAGAAUACAAUCAUAAAAACAAAACAGACCUGUUGUGUGUUUACUCGACCAUGAAUAUGUUUGAACUACAAGAUGUAGUCUUAAAAGCACAAUUUCAGAGACUUCACCUUCAGCGUGUGAAAUGAAGGUGAAUGGUCACGAAUUUUUAGCACAUUUCCCAAAAGCACAAAAUGAUGAUGUUAUUGAUCUAAUAAGUUGACAUUUUUAAAGAAAAAUUGAAUUACACAACUCGUACUUUUCA